AUCUAAUCAGGCGAAUCGUGAUUUAAUUAUAUCAGAACAAUCAGGCGCUUUACUAUCUAUGGCUUUUUAUCAACUUAUGUCUAAAGCAAAUAAUUUAUAUAAUUUAAUGAAAUCUACUUCCGAAAACAAACAAAUGAUGUAUUUUUGAUUUCUUAGAAAGCGCAGCAGAAAAAAUGUUCCUCUCAUGCCAUCCAAUAAAAAAGUUGUCAUAAUUCGAAUGCAUACAUUAUGCUUAAACCACAAACUUUAUUUGAUGUCAUCUAAUGUACCUCCAUCACAACCGAGUAAUAUUUAAAACUCAGACAAACUUUUUUAUCGGUCCCAAACUUAAGCCGUUUGUUUUGAUUUUACUUUAAAACAACACACUAAAGAGUUUUUUAAGGAAACAAAGACGACGAACCCAAGGUGUUCUUAACUUCUACCUUAUGAUUUACAUUUUUCUUACUACGUCCUGAAUUCGAUUAACCACGAUAGUCGACAAAUAUUUAAGUUUAUUGAUACCAUGAUAUCAUCAGCUUAUUAGCAACAAUCUGCAUUAUAUUUAAAUUUGAUUGCUGAGAAAAGCAAGGUUUUUUCAAGUGGAAUUAACGAAAGAAAGCCAUUGGCUUUGACGCACAAACAACUAAAUGGAUUUCCACAGGUUACUGAACUCCUAAACUAAAAUUAACUUUAAUCAGUGAAGACUUUAUGGAAUUAAAAUUAUUUAUAACCUAUUUUUGAUAAUUAUUAAAUUCUUCUUCUAGCUAUAAAGCUUUUCAAGGUUUAUGCAAAAUUAAUUAAAAAAAAUUUGCCAUGUGCUCAGUAGUGUAGUAUAUUUUAAAUAUAAAUUACAAUUAGAGUUUUAAUUUAUUGCUCAUAUUUUUUCGUAGAUCUUAAAAGUCACAGACGGUGAAAAAGACGAAAAUAAAAAUAUAUGAUGUUGGAUAUUUUUUGCGUUCAAAAGCAAGCAUGGUAAUGUAUAUCAUUAAAGGGAAAAUAAAAAAAUAUACAACAAGAACGUAAGAGAAUUUCCAAAAAAAAUAUGCAACAAUCCCUUUUAAAAAAAACGGAAACUGAAGGUAAUAAGCUUACGGAUGUUGAUGACGAAAAUAAAAAAUACUUCUGAAAUAAGUGCAGAUGAUGUGGAGUCUGGAAGGGGAUUCCUCGAAACGUUUAACUGAAUUCAUGGAAAACUUUAUUUUAUUUUUCAAAGUGUGUGUCUGAUUCCACAUCAAAUAAUUUUUCAAAAUAUGAUCUUGUUGAAGAACCAAAGAGUUUGAAGAGUUCAGUUUCACACCGAAUAAAAAUUAGAUAAGUUAAGCACCACUUUAGCGUUACGGGAAAAAGAAAGCAUUCCAAACAUAAUGGUAUACUUUCAGACAACCUUGGUAAUUAUCAAUCUGAAGUUUUUUUUCCUGCAAUAUUAAAUGUUAACUCGUCUUACACUCCAAUUAAAUUUAAGAAUUUUUUUUUUUUGAAUGUCUAUUUGUGA